UACGAAGGGGGCUAGCGUUGCUCGGAAUCACUGGGCGUAAAGCGCACGUAGGCGGCUACUCAAGUCAGAGGUGAAAGCCCAGGGCUCAACCUUGGAACUGCCUUUGAAACUAGGUAGCUAGAAUUCUGGAGAGGUCAGUGGAAUUCCGAGUGUAGAGGUGAAAUUCGUAGAUAUUCGGAAGAACACCAGUGGCGAAGGCAGCUCGCUGGGACGUUACGUGACGCUGAGACGCGAAAGCGUGGGGAGCAAACAGG
rnacentral:rRNA from 1 species